AGUAAAGAGGUGUUUGGGCACAAAAAUUUUUGGUCUUUUAGGAGAUUCUUUCACGGAUCCUUUACUA
rnacentral:tRNA from 1 species